CCUACGGGGGGCAGCAGUGGGGAAUAUUGGACAAUGGGGGCAACCCUGAUCCAGCCAUGCCGCGUGUGUGAAGAAGGCCCUCGGGUUGUAAAGCACUUUCAGUGAGGAAGAACGCCUGGUGGUUAAUACCCAUCAGGAAAGACAUCACUCACAGAAGAAGCACCGGCUAACUCCGUGCCAGCAGCCGCGGUAAUACGGAGGGUGCGAGCGUUAAUCGGAAUUACUGGGCGUAAAGCGCGCGUAGGUGGCUUGAUAAGCCGGUUGUGAAAGCCCCGGGCUCAACCUGGGAACGGCAUCCGGAACUGUCAAGCUAGAGUGCAGGAGAGGAAGGUAGAAUUCCCGGUGUAGCGGUGAAAUGCGUAGAGAUCGGGAGGAAUACCAGUGGCGAAGGCGGCCUUCUGGAUUGACACUGACACUGAGGUGCGAAAGCGUGGGUAGCAAACAGGAUUAGAUACCCUGGUAGUC
rnacentral:rRNA from 1 species